CCUACGGGAGGCAGCAGUGGGGAAUAUUGCACAAUGGGGGAAACCCUGAUGCAGCGACGCCGCGUGAAGGAAGACGUACUUCGGUAUGUUAACUUCUAUUAGCAGGGAAGAAAAUGACGGUACCUGACUAAGAAGCCACGGCCAAAUACGGGCCAGCAGCCGCGGUAAUACGGAGGGGGCCAGCGUUAUCCGGAUUUACUGGGCGUAAUGGGAGCGUAGGGGGUUUAGCAAGUGAGAAGUGAAAGCCCGGGGGUCAACUCCGGGACUGCUUUUGAAACUGUUGAACUAGAUUGCAGGAGGGGUAAGUGGAAUUCCUAGUGUAGCGGUGAAAUGCUUAGAUAUUAGGAGGAACACCGAUGGCGAAGGCAUCUUACUGGAGUGUAAAUGACGCUGAGGCUCGAAAGCGUGGGGAGCAAACAGGAUUAGAUACCCGGGUAGUC
rnacentral:rRNA from 1 species